rnacentral:ribozyme from 1 species
CCACCGUGUGGAAGAACUGCAGGAUCAAAUUGUUCGUCACGAAGCUAGACUCGCAAUGGAACAGAAACGAUACGAAGAACGCAUUGAUGCUGAAUUGGCGUCGUUAAAGCAAGAACUGGCAGAAGAGGUGGAAGAACGGCAGGUUCAAGACGAAG